rnacentral:rRNA from 1 species
CCUACGGGUGGCAGCAGUGGGGAAUAUUGGACAAUGGGGGGAACCCUGAUCCAUCCAUGCCGCGUGUGUGAAGAAGGCCCUCGGGUUGUAAAGCACUUUCAGUGAGGAAGAACGCCUGGUGGUUAAUACCCAUCAGGAAAGACAUCACUCACAGAAGAAGCACCGGCUAACUCCGUGCCAGCAGCCGCGGUAAUACGGAGGGUGCGAGCGUUAAUCGGAAUUACUGGGCGUAAAGCGCGCGUAGGUGGCUUGAUAAGCCGGUUGUGAAAGCCCCGGGCUCAACCUGGGAACGGCAUCCGGAACUGUCAAGCUAGAGUGCAGGAGAGGAAGGUAGAAUUCCCGGUGUAGCGGUGAAAUGCGUAGAGAUCGGGAGGAAUACCAGUGGCGAAGGCGGCCUUCUGGACUGACACUGACACUGAGGUGCGAAAGCGUGGGUAGCAAACAGGAUUAGAUACCCGGGUAGUC